ensembl:lncRNA GBA1LP glucosylceramidase beta 1 like, pseudogene
AGUCCCGCCCACGCGCCUUUGGAGGCUGCGGUGGGAUUUCCUUUUGCCUUCGGUUGGGGCUGCUGUUUCUCUUCGCCGACGUGGAUCCUCUAUCCUUCAGAGACUCUGGAACCCCUGUGCUCUUCUCCUCAUCUAGUGACCCUGAGGUGAUGGAGUUUUCAAGUCCUUCCAGAGAGGUGCCUUCAGCCGCUACAAGAGCAGAAGCAGUGGGCAUUGGAUGGAGCUGAGUACAGGACCAUACAGGCUAAUUGCACCGGCACAGGAAUCGGAUAUAACAUCAUCUGGGUACCCAUGGCCAGCUGUGACUUCUCCAUCCGCACCUACACCUAUGCAGACACCCCUGAUGAUUUCCAGUUGCACAACUUCAGCCUCCCAGAGGAAGAUACCAAGCUCAAGAUACCCCUGAUUCACCGAGCCCUGCAGUUGGCCCAGCGUCCCGUUUCACUCCUUGCCAGCCCCUGGACAUCACCCACUCGGCUCAAGACCAGGGGAGCGGGGAAUGGGAAGGGGCCACUCAAGGGACAGCCCAGAGACAUCUACCACCAGACCUGGGCCAGAUACAUUGUGAAGUUCCUGGAUGCCUAUGCUGAGCACAAGUUACAGUUCUGGGCAGUGACAGCUGAAAAUGAGCCUUCUGCUGGGCUGUUGAGUGGAUACCCCUUCCAGUGCCUGGGCUUCACCCCUGAACAUCAGCGAGACUUCAUUGCCCGUGACCUAGGUCCUACCCUUGCCAACGGUACUCACCACAAUGUCCGCCUACUCAUGCUGGAUGACCAACGCUUGCUGCUGCCCCACUGGGCAAAGGUGGUACUGACAGACCCAGAAGCAGCUAAAGGCCUGUGUGGGUUCCAAGUUCUGGGAGCAGAGUGUGCGGCUAGGCUCCUGGGAUCGAGGGAUGCAGUACAGCCACAGCAUCAUCACAAACCUCCUGUACCAUGUGGUCGGCUGGACCGACUGGAACCCAUCAUUGUAGACAUCACCAAGCACACGUUUUACAAACAGCCCAUGUUCUACCACCUUGGCCACUUCAGCAAGUUCAUUCCUGAGGGCUCCCAGAGAGUGGGGCUGGUUGCCAGUCAGAAGAACGACCCGGACGCAGUGGCACUGAUGCAUCCCGAUGGCUCUGCUGUUGUGGUCGUGCUAAACCGCUCCUCUAAGGAUGUGCCUCUUACCAUCAAGGAUCCUGCUGUGGGCUUCCUGGAGACAAUCUCACCUGGCUACUCCAUUCACACCUACCUGUGGCGUCGCCAGUGAUGGAGCAGAUACUCAAGGAGGCACUGGGCUCAGCCUGGGCAUUAAAGGGACAGAGUCAGCUCACACGCUGUCUGUGACUAAAGAGGGCACAGCAGGGCCAGUGUGAGCUUACAGCGACGUAAGCCCAGGGGCAAUGGUUUGGGUGACUCACUUUCCCCUCUAGGUGGUGCCAGGGGCUGGAGGCCCCUAGAAAAAGAUCAGUAAGCCCCAGUGUCCCCCCAGCCCCCAUGCUUAUGUGAACAUGCGCUGUGUGCUGCUUGCUUUGGAAACUGGGCCUGGGUCCAGGCCUAGGGUGAGCUCACUGUCCGUACAAACACAAGAUCAGGGCUGAGGGUAAGGAAAAGAAGAGACUAGGAAAGCUGGGCCCAAAACUGGAGACUGUUUGUCUUUCCUGGAGAUGCAGAACUGGGCCCGUGGAGCAGCAGUGUCAGCAUCAGGGCGGAAGCCUUAAAGCAGCAGCGGGUGUGCCCAGGCACCCAGAUGAUUCCUAUGGCACCAGCCAGGAAAAAUGGCAGCUCUUAAAGGAGAAAAUGUUUGAGCCCAGUCA